AGACACGCUGGCGGCGUGCUUAACACAUGCAAGUCGAACGGAACUUAUUGGAUCAAGACUUCGGUCAAGUGAAUUUAAGCUUAGUGGCGGACGGGUGAGUAACGCGUGAGUAACCUGCCUUUCAGAGGGGGAUAACGUUCCGAAAGGGACGCUAAUACCGCAUAACAUGUAGAGUUCGCAUGGACAUUACAUCAAAGAUUUAUCGCUGAAAGAUGGACUCGCGUCUGAUUAGCUAGUUGGAGGGGUAACGGCCCACCAAGGCGACGAUCAGUAGCCGAACUGAGAGGUUGAUCGGCCACAUUGGGACUGAGACACGGCCCAGACUCCUACGGGAGGCAGCAGUGGGGGAUAUUGCGCAAUGGGGGAAACCCUGACGCAGCAAUGCCGCGUGAAGGAAGAAGGUCUUCGGAUCGUAAACUUUUGUCUUCAGGGACGAUAAUGACGGUACCUGAGGAGGAAGCCACGGCUAACUACGUG
rnacentral:rRNA from 1 species